UACGUAGGUGGCAAGCGUUGUCCGGAAUUACUGGGCGUAAAGCGUGCGUAGGUGGUUCGUUAAGUCUGAUGUGAAAGCCCUGGGCUCAACCUGGGAAUGGCAUUGGAAACUGGCGACCUAGAGUGCGGUAGAGGGCAGUGGAAUUCCCGGUGUAGCAGUGAAAUGCGUAGAGAUCGGGAGGAACAUCUGUGGCGAAGGCGACUGCCUGGACCAGCACUGACACUGAGGCACGAAAGCGUGGGGAGCAAACAGG
rnacentral:rRNA from 1 species